AUGAAUUAUAGCAAGCCCAUUAUUCAUACUCUUCAAUCAUGAUAUAUCCUUAUAUUGUUGUAUUUAAACUUGCUGGGCAACUUUCAUGCUCACCCUUGCUAUAUCAUGAUAAAACAUUGCAGAUAAGACGAAAGCGUUCGGAUACAGGAAACGAUUAAAGCCAAGUUCAGCUUGGGUUAUAAAGUGCAGCUAGUUUGUAAUAGCGUAUUGUGAUAAAUAUUGUUAUGUAAUAAAUAGUUUAUGAAAUGUGUAUAAGUUAAGGUUACUCGACCUUGGGGACUAGUGUGUAAUGUAAUGUAUAAACAAUUUAUGUUUAUAUCUUC
rnacentral:lncRNA from 1 species